rnacentral:rRNA from 1 species
GAUCCUGGCUCAGGAUGAACGCUAGCUACAGGCUUAACACAUGCAAGUCGAGGGGCAGCAUGGGAUUAGCUUGCUAAUCCUGAUGGCGACCGGCGCACGGGUGAGUAACGCGUAUCCAACCUUCCCCUUACUCAGGGGAUAGCCCGGUGAAAACCGGAUUAACACCUGAUGGUUUCAUUAGAUGGCAUCUGACGAUGAAUAAAGGCUUACGGUAAGGGAUGGGGAUGCGUCUGAUUAGCUUGUUGGCGGGUAACGGCCCACCAAGGCAACGAUCAGUAGGGGUUCUGAGAGGAAGGUCCCCCACAUUGGAACUGAGACACGGUCCAAACUCCUACGGGAGGCAGCAGUGAGGAAUAUUGGUCAAUGGGCGAGAGCCUGAACCCAGCCAAGUAGCGUGCAAGGAUGACGGCCCUAUGGGUUGUAAACUGCUUUUGUACGGGAAUAAAGUCAUCCACGUGUGGAUGUUUGCAUGUACCGUAAGAAUAAGGACCGGCUAAUUCCGUGCCAGCAGCUGC